rnacentral:rRNA from 1 species
UACAGAGGUCUCAACCGUUGUUCGGAUUCAUUGGGCGUAAAGGGUGCGUAGGCGGUCGCGUAAGUCAGGUGUGAAAUCCCGGGGCUCAACCUCGGGCCUGCAGUGGGUACGGGCAGACUAGAGUGCGGUAGGGGAGAUUGGAAUUCCUGGUGUAGCGGUGGAAUGCGCAGAUAUCAGGAGGAACACCAAUGGCGAAGGCAGAUCUCUGGGCCGUAACUGACGCUGAGGAGCGAAAGCAUGGGGGAGCGAACAGG